rnacentral:rRNA from 1 species
AUUGAACGCUGGCGGAAUGCUUUACACAUGCAAGUCGAGCGGCAGCGCGGGGGCAACCCUGGCGGCGAGCGGCGAACGGGUGAGUAAUACAUCGGAACAUGUCCAGUUGUGGGGGAUAGCCCGGCGAAAGCCGGAUUAAUACCGCAUGAGCUCUGGCGAGGAAAGCGGGGGACCGAAAGGCCUCGCGCGACUGGGUUGGCCGAUGUCCGAUUAGCUAGUUGGUGGGGUAAAGGCNCACCAAGGCGAUGAUCGGUAGCUGGUCUGAGAGGAUGAUCAGCCACACUGGGACUGAGCACGGCCCAGACUCCUACGGGAGGCAGCAGUGGGGAAUUUUGGACAAUGGGGGCAACCCUGAUCCAGCCAUUCCGCGUGAGUGAAGAAGGCC